rnacentral:rRNA from 1 species
AGGACGAACGCUGGCGGCGUGCUUAACACAUGCAAGUCGAGCGGAAAGGCCCUUCGGGGUACUCGAGCGGCGAACGGGUGAGUAACACGUGAGUAACCUGCCCUUGGCUCUGGGAUAGCCUCCGGAAACGGGGAUUAAUACCGGACAUUCACUUUCUCCUGCAUGGGGGUUGGUGGAAAGUUUUUCGGCCAGGGAGGGGCUCGCGGCCUAUCAGCUUGUUGGCGGGGUAACGGCCCACCAAGGCGACGACGGGUAGCCGGCCUGAGAGGGCGAUCGGCCACACUGGGACUGAGACACGGCCCAGACUCCUACGGGAGGCAGCAGUGGGGAAUAUUGCACAAUGGGCGCAAGCCUGAUGCAGCGACGCCGCGUGGGGAUGAAGGCCUUCGGGUUGUAAACCCCUUUCACCAGGAGCGAAUUCAGACGGUACCUGGGAAGAAGCGCCGGCUAACUACGCGCCAGCAGCCGC